rnacentral:rRNA from 1 species
GAUGAACGCUGGCGGCGUGCUUAACACAUGCCAGUCGAACGGAAAGGCCGAAGCUUGCUUCGGUACUCGAGUGGCGAACGGGUGAGUAACACGUGUGUGAUCUGCCCUGUACUUCGGGAUAAGCUUGGGAAACUGGGUCUAAUACCGGAUAUGACGAUCUCUUGGAUGGGGUUGUGGAAAGCUUUUGCGGUAUGGGAUGAGCUCGCGGCCUAUCAGCUUGUUGGUGGGGUAAUGGCCUACCAAGGCGUCGACGGGUAGCCGGCCUGAGAGGGUGUACGGCCACAUUGGGACUGAGAUACGGCCCAGACUCCUACGGGAGGCAGCAGUGGGGAAUAUUGCACAAUGGGCGCAAGCCUGAUGCAGCGACGCCGCGUGGGGGAUGACGGCCUUCGGGUUGUAAACUCCUUUCGCAAUCGACGAAGCCUUUUGGUGACGGUAGGUUGAGAAGAAGCACCGGCUAACUACGUG